rnacentral:rRNA from 1 species
GACGAACGCUGGCGGCGUGCUUAACACAUGCAAGUCGAACGGACAGGCCCUGCUUUUGUGGGGUGCUCGAGUGGCGAACGGGUGAGUAACACGUGAGUAACCUGCCCUUGACUUUGGGAUAACUUCAGGAAACUGGGGCUAAUACCGGAUAGGAGAUCCUGCUGCAUGGUGGGGGUUGGAAAGUUUCGGCGGUUGGGGAUGGACUCGCGGCUUAUCAGCUUGUUGGUGGGGUAGUGGCUUACAAAGGCUUUGACGGGUAGCCGGCCUGAGAGGGUGACCGGCCACAUUGGGACUGAGAUACGGCCCAGACUCCUACGGGCGGCAGCAGUGGGGAAUAUUGCACAAUGGGCGGAAGCCUGAUGCAGCAACGCCGCGUUCGUGAUGACGUCCUUCGGGUUGUAAACCGCUUUCGCCUGUGACGAAGCGUGAGUGACGGUAAUGGGUAAAGAAGCACCGGCUAACUACGUG